UACGUAGGGGGCAAGCGUUGUCCGGAAUUACUGGGCGUAAAGCGUUUGUAGGCGGUCAAUCAAGUCAGGGGUGAAAUCCCAGAGCUCAACUCUGGAAUUGCCUUUGAAACUGAUUGGCUAGAGAGUGUUAGAGGUUAGUGGAAUUCCUAGUGUAGGAGUGAAAUCCGUAGAGAUUAGGAGGAAUAUCGAUGGCGAAGGCAGCUAACUGGGACAUUUCUGACGCUGAGAAACGAAAGCGUGGGUAGCAAACAGG
rnacentral:rRNA from 1 species